ACCCGCUGAGUUUAAGCAUAUCAAU
rnacentral:rRNA from 11 species